UCGCUACUACCGAUUGAAUGGCUUAGUGAGGCCUCUGGAUUAAGCUUUAAGCUGGGGCAACCCGGGUUAAUGCUGAGAAACUGGUCAAACUUGGUCAUUUAGAGGAAGUAA
rnacentral:rRNA from 1 species